GGGUCAGUAGGUUGGUCGUGCCACCGGUACGUACUGGUCUCACUGAUUCCUCCUUCCUGAAGAACCGUAAUGCCAUUAAUUUGGUGUUGCGGGGAAACAGGACUGUUACUUUGAAAAAAUUAGAGCGUUUAAAGCAAGCUAACGCUUGAAUACAUUAGCAUGGGAUAAUGAAAUAGGACGAUCGAUCCUAUUUUGUUGGUUUCUAGGAUUGACGUA
rnacentral:rRNA from 1 species